AGCGAACGCUGGCGGCAGGCUUAACACAUGCAAGUCGAACGGGCGUAGCAAUACGUCAGUGGCAGACGGGUGAGUAACGCGUGGGAACGUACCUUUUGGUUCGGAACAACCCAGGGAAACUUGGGCUAAUACCGGAUAAGCCCUUACGGGGAAAGAUUUAUCGCCGAAAGAUCGGCCCGCGUCUGAUUAGCUAGUUGGUGAGGUAACGGCUCACCAAGGCGACGAUCAGUAGCUGGUCUGAGAGGAUGAUCAGCCACAUUGGGACUGAGACACGGCCAAACUCCUACGGGAGGCAGCAGUGGGGAAUAUUUGACAAUGGGCGCAAGCCUGAUCCAGCCAUGCCGCGUGAGUGAUGAAGGCCCUAGGGUUGUAAAGCUCUUUUGUGCGGGAAGAUAAUGACGGUACCGCAAGAAUAAGCCCCGGCUAACUUCGUGCCAGCCGCCGCUGUAAC
rnacentral:rRNA from 1 species